UACGAAGGGGGCUAGCGUUGCUCGGAAUCACUGGGCGUAAAGCGCACGUAGGCGGAUUGCUAAGUCAGGGGUGAAAUCCUGGAGCUCAACUCCAGAACUGCCUUUGAUACUGGGACUCUAGUCGGCGAGAGGUGAGUGGAACUGCGAGUGUAGAGGUGAAAUUCGUAGAUAUUCGCAAGAACACCAGUGGCGAAGGCGGCUCACUGGCCCGGUACUGACGCUGAGGUGCGAAAGCGUGGGGAGCAAACAGG
rnacentral:rRNA from 1 species